rnacentral:rRNA from 1 species
UACGAAGGGGGCUAGCGUUGUUCGGAUUUACUGGGCGUAAAGCGCACGCAGGCGGCCAAACAAGUCAGAGGUGAAAUCCCAGGGCUCAACCCUGGAACUGCCUUUGAAACUGUUUGGCUAGAGAUCGAGAGAGGAUAGUGGAAUUCCUAGUGUAGAGGUGAAAUUCGUAGAUAUUAGGAGGAACACCAGUGGCGAAGGCGGCUAUCUGGCUCGAUACUGACGCUCAUGUGCGAAAGCGUGGGGAGCAAACAGG